AUUGAACGCUGGCGGCAGGCCUAACACAUGCAAGUAGAACGAGUGGCGGACGGGUGAGUAAUGUCUGGGAAACUGCCUGAUGGAGGGGGAUAACUACUGGAAACGGUAGCUAAUACCGCAUAACAUCAGAUGUGCCCAGAUGGGAUUAGCUUGUUGGUGGGGUAACGGCUCACAAAGGCGACGAUCCCUAGCUGGUCUGAGAGGAUGACCAGCCAAACUGGAACUGGGACACGGUCUAGACUCCAACGGGAGGAAGAAGUGGGGAAUAUUGCACAAUGGGCGCAAGCCUGAUGCAGCCAUGCGGCGUGUAUGAAGAAGGCCUUCGGGUUGUAAAGUACUUUCAGCGGGGAGGCGUUACCCGCAGAAGAAGCACCGGCUAACUCCGUGCCAGCAGCCGCGGUAAUUC
rnacentral:rRNA from 1 species